UGCAGCGUCUCGUACGUAGAUCCUCCUUUUCCGAGGCAACGGCAGUAUGGCCGCAGCAGCCAAAGCGACGUCGUCAUCGGGAGCGACAUCGGUGCUAGUGCGUAAAUCCUUUGAGAAGAGAUAGAAGAAGCUAGCGAGGAGAGAGAGACAUACAUUGGGAUUAAUACUUGGCAGUCGUCCAAGUUGCUUAGUUCUCCGCAAUACGGUUCUACUUUCAACUACUAUCCCUACGUUGUGCUGAAGAAUUCGUAAACAGGCUUUCAAUACGUCAUCACGGUGCCUAGUUCUUCGCAGUACUCAUUCAACUUCCAACCACGAAGGGCAGGAGUUAUACAUGGCAUCGCACAAUUCGUUUACAGGUACCCAAAGAUGCUGCCACCGUAGCUGCUGUUUGCCCGGACUCCCCCUGUUCAUCG